GUGAAGUGCGCGAUGUGCGGGUGCCCGUCAUUUUGUAACGGUCAACUUCCAGCGGACGGACACGGAGGAAAGGGCCUGACAACCACCAGUUGAGUCCAUGAUUCAGGGAAGAGACAGUCUGGGCAGCAGCAACAAGACAACUAUUACAAGUAGAGAUGGGUUUCAAGAACUGGUACUAAUUUGGUUCCUGACUUGUUCAGUACUGAAAACAUUUACAUAAGGUACAGGAUCAAUAGUGCUGCUAUCAGUAUUCUUGUAACAUUGAUUCAUUACCCUUUAGACACAACCACAUAUCCUCCAAAUCAUCUCUGCGUGGAUGGCAGCAAGGAUCCAGGAUCAAGAGAUCAUUCUUCAUGGAGACUGUUCCACAGGAAGCAGUUUCUACUGGGUGAAAAACUAAACCUGGUUG